CAUCAUGUACUUAGAUGAUGAUCAAGGUUUCCAAAUGUUUUUAUAUCAAAAUAACUAUUUAAGAAACUGUCCGAGACUGUCCGGUCUGUGUGGACGUUUGUACUCCUUAGACACUUACGUAUAUCAUGUUAUAUUAAAUAUUAUCAGUUAAAUGUGUAUUGACAACACUCUAACAUACAUGUUAAACUGUAUUAUAAUGUAUUUGUUUGUUUAAAUUCAUAUUAAUGCUUAUUUCCAGACAGGGAAUUACACCAUUAGCACCAAUUUGUCUCUGGGGAAACUUCUGCUGGUCAAGGUGGAGAAAGAUCCUUUUUUGAUCCUCCCAGAAGAUGAGUGGUACUUCUCCAAAAUAGUGGUGACGACUCCUGAAGGAGAAGCCAUUCUUUUCCCCUGUUACGGAUGGAUCUCCAGAGGAGAACUGGUGGAGCUGAGAGGAGGGAGAGCCUUGAAGGCUUUUGAGGAGGACCAUCCCAUGUUGAUUGACCAUCGCAAACAGGAGCUGAUACUUAAGAAGAGCCUUUACCAGUGGAAAUAUGUGGCUGAAGGAUUAAACCACAUCAGCCACUUCAAUAAAGUGUCUGAUCUCCCAGCUGAAAUCCGCUUCUCUAAGUCCAAAUCAAACCAAGUAGAUAGUGUGAACAGGGAAACUGGUAUUGAACUCACGCGCAAGGGGCUGCUUGGAUCUCAUGAACAAUGGGAAAGCAUUGAAGACAUGAAAAAAAUCUUCACGUGGAAAAAGACAACUAUGUCAGGUAGAUUGUUUUUCCCCAUUAUCCACAUCUGCAGCGCAACUCACAACAAUAAUGUCAUUGUCAUCAUUUCAUAACAAGUGAAUAUGAGCAUUUGACAGACACUAUCAUCGGUUCCAAUGUAACAACAGUUCUUUCUACAACACUGCUUGAUA